rnacentral:lncRNA from 1 species
GGAGUACAUGCUCUUAGGAAAUAUAACCACCAUGAUGUAAGUAUUACUGGAAACAUUGAGUAAGCGAGAAUGGAUCACUCUUAUGAUUAUAUCAUAUCACACAUCAAUACUACCAACUCACCAUGGAUCAAACAGGCUGGAGUACAUGAUCUGAGGAAAUAUUACCAUCUAAAAGUAAGUAUUGCUGGAAACAUUGGGUAACACUAGAAUGGACCACUCGUUUCAUUUCAUCAUCUCUCACAUCAAUACUACCAACUCACUGUGGAUUAAACGGGCGGGAGUAAAUGCUCUUAGGAAAUAUCAUAAAACCACCAUAUGGUAAGUUUUUAUACCUUAACUUAUGUAUGAACAGGGAUACAUACUCUUGGAAAAAUGUAAGUUAAAACAGUAUUGGGAUUUAUUGUCAGAGUCAAAGUUGGUCAUGUCCAUUUACUUGCUGUCAAAAGUUCAAAACAACAGUUUUAUGACAUCUUGGUCCCUGACUUAUUACAGAUCCAAUCCAUCCAUUUUUAAAAACUAGAGUGUAUUCCCUUUAUAGAUGUGUUAAGCUUAAAAAAUGGAUAAAAUUAUAUUAUUUUCCAUUUACAGUGAAGGGUAUCAUAUAAAAAUUUGAUAGGAAAAGUUGUGAUGUUUUUCAAAUGUUGAUAUGAAGAUAAUAUUUUAGAUACAUUUCCUACUGUAGACAUAUACAUACUAUGUCAAUUAGAUUGUUCUGCCAAAUAAAUUGGUUUUGACUUUCAGGCAGCCAACGUAUUGCUGACCACUGCAUUAUAUGAUGAUGAUGAGAAUGUUAGUAUUGAGGCUCUGCUGAUGUACCAAGCUCAUCCAAAGUCUGUCUUGCUUAAUCCAUUAAAUGCCAGGUAAAACAAGAUAAUAAGUAACCUGUAUGUCCUACAUCAUAAUACUGCAUCAGUGGUCUAGCGGUAGUGUGCUCACCUGAGAGUGAGAUGUUGUGUUCUAGAUCCCCGGGUUUGUCACUUCAGAGUCUUUAGAAUUAGAACAAUAAACAACAGGGGACAAUGCAUAUUUCAGAUAGCCUACUGUAAAUUCAGAAAUUAUGCGUGCAUUUAUUAUUGCGAUUUGGUCUUUUUAAGACUUAAUGGAUUUUAAUUUUUACAAUUUUGAGAAAAAAUCCUGUUUAAUUAAUAUCAGAUAUUUCCAAAUGCAAGUUUAAAUUAUUGCGUUUACAACUCUGUCGCAUUUUUCGCAAUAAUAAAAAACUUGCAAUAAUAUCUGAAUUUACAGUAUAUAAAUAUAGUUCAUAUGUCUUAAAUCAAUGUUUUUAAAACUUAUUCAUGACUACAAUAUGUACAGUUUAACUUUGGGUUAGCAUUUAUUAAAAAAAAAAUAAAAAAAUAUUGUGCUCUGCAUGUAUAUAUUUUCUAUUUAUUUCUCUAUGAAAUUUACUUAUUUUAGGAAUGACAGUAAUGAAACUAGUGUUAUAGAUCCCUACGCGUCAGACAUGCAUUUUGUGGCUGUGAAUCAACGAGCAAAGAGAGGGAUUUU